AUACGGAGGAUCCGAGCGUUAUCCGGAUUUAUUGGGUUUAAAGGGAGCGUAGGCGGAGGAUCAAGUCAGCUGUGAAAUGUAGACGCUCAACGUCUGCACUGCAGUUGAAACUGGUCCCCUUGAGUGCGUAAGGGGCAGGCGGAAUUCGUCGUGUAGCGGUGAAAUGCUUAGAUAUGACAAAGAAAUCCGAUCGCGAAGGCAGCUUGCCGGGCCGCAACUGACGCUGAAGCUCGAAGGUGCGGGUAUCGAACAGGAUUAGAUACCCUGGUAGUCCGCACAGUAAACGAUGGAUACUCGCUGUCGGCGAUAUACGGUCGGUGGCCAAGCGAAAGCGUUAAGUAUCCCACCUGGGGAGUACGCCGGCAACGGUGAAACUCAAAUGAAUUGACGGGG
rnacentral:rRNA from 1 species